rnacentral:rRNA from 1 species
UACCGCAUGAUGCCUGAGGGCCAAAGACGAAAGUCGUUUGAGGAGGAGCCUGCGUCUGAUUAGGUAGUUGGUGGGGUAAAGGCUACCAAGCCCUACGAUCAGUAGCUGGUCUGAGAGGAUGAUCAGCCACAUUGGGACUGAGACAGGCCCAAAUCCUACGGGAGGCAGCAGUGGGGAAUAUUGGACAAUGGGCGCAAGCCUGAUCCAGCAAUGCCGCGUGGGUGAAGAAGGUCUUCGGAUUGUAAAAGCCCUUUUGGCGGGGACGAUGAUGACGGUACCCGCAGAAUAAGCUCCGGCUAACUUCGUG